rnacentral:lncRNA from 1 species
AAGAACCCGAAAGGCCCACAGCCUUUCAACCUAAGGCCCAACUAGCCCUAGAGCCUCCAUGAAGCCCUCAUGAAUGAUGGACCUUGGCCUUAGCCUUGGUCCCCUGGGCCUUGGGCACACCACCUGGAUCACAACAAUCUCCACCUUAGAGUCCCAAGGCCUCAACCAGCUCCACUCUGUCCAUCAGCCGCAUCAGCUCAACACAUCUCUGAAAGCUGUCCCGCGGAAGUACCUUCGUAAGUGCAUC